AACGAACGCUGGCGGCAUGCCUAACACAUGCAAGUCGAACGAGACCUUCGGGUCUAGUGGCGCACGGGUGCGUAACGCGUGGGAACCUGCCCUUAGGUUCGGAAUAACUCCCCGAAAGGGGUGCUAAUACCGGAUAAUGUCUUCGGACCAAAGAUUUAUCGCCUUUGGAUGGGCCCGCGUUGGAUUAGAUAGUUGGUAGGGUAAGAGCAUACCAAGGCGACGAUCCAUAGCUGGUCUGAGAGGAUGAUCAGCCACACUGAGACUGAGACACGGCCCAGACUCCUACGGGAGGCAGCAGUGGGGAAUAUAGGACAAUGGGCGAAAGCCUGAUCCAGCAAUGCCGCGUGAGUGAUGAAGGCCUUAGGGUUGUAAAGCUCUUUUACCCGGGAUGAUAAUGACAGUACCGGGAGAAUAAGCUCCGGCUAACUCCGUG
rnacentral:rRNA from 1 species